AAUUAAGCAUAUCAAUAAGCGGAGGAAAAGAAACCAACAGGGAUUCCCUUAGUAACGGCGAGCGAAAAGGGAAGAGCCCAGCUUGUAAAUCUCCGGUUUUCCGGCGAAUUGUAGUCUGGAGUAGCAUCUCUUAAAGCUGUGUCCGCCCAAGCAUCUUGGAAUAGAUCGCCUUAGAGGGUGAGAGCCCCGUAGGCUGGCAUUUGCUUUUUCACGGAGUGCUUACGCAGAGUCGGGUUGUUUGGGAAUGCAGCCCCAAUUGGGUGGUAAACCCCAUCUAAGGCUAAAUACCUGUGGGAGACCGAUAGCAAAAAAGUACCUCGAGGGAACGAUGAAAAGACCGCUGGCAAGCGAGUGAAAGAGUGCAUGAAAUUGUAUAGUGGGAAGGGAUGGCUUGGCGUGCUGCCUACGGGUAUACACUGCUCUUCGAGCUCUUGAAUACACCGUAGGCUGGCUGGUGCCGGCACUUAUGCUUGCAAAUUCCCAACCUAAGGUGUUUGGUUCUACAAGCGCAAGUGCUGAGGAUGAUCGAAGCUCUGUUUUAAACUGCUCCGACAUAGCACCAGCUGAAGCCUGUCCAUCUACCCGUCUUGAAACACGGAA
rnacentral:rRNA from 1 species